rnacentral:lncRNA from 1 species
AACAAUUAACAAACAGUUUUUUUUACAAUGCACAACUUCAAUCAUAUAAAUUUGGCGUUUGAGAAUCCCCGUCCAUAAUCGGGUAGUAAAGGAAAAGAAGAAAUUUAUAAAGUUUACUAUAUCUCAUCUUUAUACUCUUAAUAUUUAUAUUAAAGCCAUGAUUGUAAUGGUUAAAUCAGAAUCAGACACCUACCUUAAUCUACCCCAAUCAAUAUAAAAAAAACGAAAAAGGUAAAAUCCGAAAGAUAAAAUUGAACAUGGUAAGAAACACAUACGAAAACAAAAAAGGGUAGCCGGUCCUGCGGACACCUGCUUAUGGAGCGACCGGAACUCCAUCGAAGAAACUUGUGGGAUCACUCGCACUGGCUAGCGGCCUCCAGCAAACUCGCCAGGUAUUUGAAAUUGUGGGGAUACCACCCUUCUUCAGAGAUUUAGUCAGCUUUCGAUCCAAAGACGAAUUUCCAGCUUUCAAGACUCUCUUCGACCGGCUCCGGGCAACCGCUAAUUGCUCCACCACGGGUGUAGCUUCCCGCGCCAGAGCUAGCUUCCCCAAUACAGCCGAUCUUGCAGCUCCUCGCGAUCUAUUGUCGUCGACCAGGUUAGCAUGAGCAGUGUCGGGAUUGAACGAAGGGCUCGACAUCUUCUCGGACGCGUUAUGAAGUUCGGAUGGUGAAAAAUCCUAAUUAAAGGGUAGAAACAAAACCCUAAUCGAUGGGUAAAACAACCCUAAUCGAUGGGUAAAACAACCCUAAACGA